rnacentral:rRNA from 1 species
UACGAAGGGUGCAAGCGUUACUCGGAAUUACUGGGCGUAAAGCGUGCGUAGGUGGUGAGUUAAGUCUGAUGUGAAAUCCCCGGGCUCAACCUGGGAAUGGCAUUGGAUACUGGCUCGCUGGAGUGCGGUAGAGGGUGGUGGAAUUCCCGGUGUAGCAGUGAAAUGCGUAGAGAUCGGGAGGAACAUCUGUGGCGAAGGCGGCCU